UAAUACAUGCAAGUCGAACGCGCAGCGAAAGGUGCUUGCACCUUUCAAGCGAGUGGCGAACGGGUGAGUAACACGUGGAUAACCUGCCUCAAGGCUGGGGAUAACAUUUGGAAACAGAUGCUAAUACCGAAUAAAACUUAGUAUCGCAUGAUACAAAGUUGAAAGGCGCUACGGCGUCACCUAGAGAUGGGUCCGCGGUGCAUUAGUUAGUUGGUGGGGUAAAGGCCUACCAAGACAAUGAUGCAUAGCCGAGUUGAGAGACUGAUCGGCCACAUUGGGACUGAGACACGGCCCAAACUCCUACGGGAGGCUGCAGUAGGGAAUCUUCCACAAUGGGCGAAAGCCUGAUGGAGCAACGCCGCGUGUGUGAUGAAGGCUUUAGGGUCGUAAAGCACUGUUGUAUGGGAAGAAAUGCUAGAAUAGGGAAUGAUUCUAGUUCGACGGUACCAUACCAGAAAGGGACGGCUAAAUACGUGCCAGCAGCCGCGGUAAUACGUAUGUCCCGAGCGUUAUCCGGAUUUAUUGGGCGUAAAGCGAGCGCAGACGGUUGAUUAAGUCUGAUGUGAAAGCCCGGAGCUCAACUCCGGAAUGGCAUUGGAAACUGGUUAACUUGAGUGUUGUAGAGGUAAGUGGAACUCCAUGUGUAGCGGUGGAAUGCGUAGAUAUAUGGAAGAACACCAGUGGCGAAGGCGGCUUACUGGACAACAACUGACGUUGAGGCUCGAAAGUGU
rnacentral:rRNA from 1 species